CCUACGGGAGGCAGCAGUGGGGAAUAUUGGACAAUGGGCGAAAGCCUGAUCCAGCAAUUCCGCGUGUGUGAAGAAGGCCUUCGGGUUGUAAAGCACUUUAGUGGGGGAAGAAACAGCUUGGCCACACCAAGCCUUGACGGUACCCCAAGAAUAAGCACCGGCUAACUCUGUGCCAGCAGCCGCGGUAAUACAGAGGGUGCAAGCGUUAAUCGGAUUUACUGGGCGUAAAGGGUGCGUAGGUGGCUAUUUAAGUCGGAUGUGAAAGCCCGGGGCUCAACCUCGGAAUUGCAUUCGAUACUGAGUGGCUAGAGUUCGGUAGAGGGCGGCGGAAUUUCCGGUGUAGCGGUGAAAUGCGUAGAUAUCGGAAGGAACAUCAAUGGCGAAGGCAGCCGCCUGGGCCUGGACUGACACUGAGGCACGAAAGCGUGGGUAGCAAACAGGAUUAGAUACCCUGGUAGUCCACGCCGUAAACGAUGAGAACUUGACGUUGGUUCGUUUUACGAAUCGGUGUCGCAGCUAACGCGAUAAGUUCUCCGCCUGGGGAGUACGGCCGCAAGGUUGAAACUUAAGAAGUAGUGCGUUGUGAGAGCGCGACGACGACGACGGAGGAGGAG
rnacentral:rRNA from 1 species